AGUCGAACGAUGACGGAGAGCUUGCUCUUCUGAUUAGUGGCGAACGGGUGAGUAACACGUGAGUAACCUGCCCUUGACUCUGGGAUAAGCACUGGAAACGGUGUCUAAUACCGGAUACGAGCCUCCUCCGCAUGGUGAGGGGCUGGAAAGAAUUUCGGUCAAGGAUGGACUCGCGGCCUAUCAGCUAGUUGGUGAGGUAACGGCCCACCAAGGCGACGACGGGUAGCCGGCCUGAGAGGGUGACCGGCCACACUGGGACUGAGACACGGCCCAGACUCCUACGGGAGGCAGCAGUGGGGAAUAUUGCACAAUGGGCGCAAGCCUGAUGCAGCAACGCCGCGUGAGGGACGACGGCCUUCGGGUUGUAAACCUCUUUUAGUAGGGAAGAAGCGAAAGUGACGGUACCUGCAGAAAAAGCACCGGCUAACUACGUGCCAGCAGCCGCGGUAAUACGUAGGGUGCAAGCGUUGUCCGGAAUUAUUGGGCGUAAAGAGCUCGUAGGCGGUUUGUCGCGUCUGCUGUGAAAACCCGAGGCUCAACCUCGGGCCUGCAGUGGGUACGGGCAGACUAGAGUGCGGUAGGGGAGAUUGGAAUUCCUGGUGUAGCGGUGGAAUGCGCAGAUAUCAGGAGGAACACCGAUGGCGAAGGCAGAUCUCUGGGCCGUAACUGACGCUGAGGAGCGAAAGCAUGGGGAGCGAACAGGAUUAGAUACCCUGGUA
rnacentral:rRNA from 1 species